UAUUCUUUCUUCUAAUGAAAAAAUAAAGGCCGAGCAUGGUGGCUCGUACCUGUAAUGCCAUCACUUUGGGAGGCUGAGGUGGGCGGAUCAUCUGAGGUCAGGAGUUCAAGACCAAUCUGGCCAACAUGGCAAAAUUCUGUGUCUACUAAAAAUUUAAAAAACUAGCCAGGUAUGGUGGCAGGAGCCUGUAAUCCCAGCUAUUUUUUGGUAGGCUGAGGCAGGAGAAUCGCUUGAACCUGGAAGGCAGAGGCUGCAGUGAGCACUGAUUGCACCAUUGCACUCCAGCCUGGGCAACAGAGCAAGUAAAAAAAAAAAAAAGGACUGUGUGUGAAUGAGAAAUGUCUGUCUACCAAAAUCUGUCCUCCCAAUUCCAUAGUGUGGAGUGGUAUCUGCCAGACAGUUGCCCUAUCAGAGACUACAUUUCCCAGCUCCCUGUGCCCAGUUGUGGCCACGUGACCAGUUCUCGCCAAGAGACUACGAAUGAGCAUGACCAGUCCCUUGAGGAGGAAAGAAGGGGUUGUAAUUGCUCCAGACCUUCUUUCCCCUUCUGCUAUCUGGUUCCAGAGGACUCUGGGGCUUUGAAGGCUUCUCAAAUUUAUAUGUAUGAGUGGUCCCUAACUUAACAAUGGUUAGACUUAUGAUUUUUUAAUAUUUUGAUGGUGUGAAAGUGAUACCAUAGAAACCAUUCUUCAAGUACCCAUAGAGCCAUUCUGUUUUUUACUUUUAGUAUAGUAUUCAGUAAAUUACAUGAGGUAGUCAACACUUUAUUACUUAUUUAUUUUGAGACAGGAUCUCACUCUGUUGCCCAGGCUGGAGUGCAGUGGUGCAAUCACAGCUCACUGCAACUUCCACCUUCCUGAUCUCAGAUGAUCCUCCCACCUCAACCUCCCGAGUAGCUGGGACUACAGGCUUGUGUCACCACGCCUCACUAAUUUUUGGGUUUUUUUGGGGGUAGAGAUUGGGUUUUGUCAUGUUGCCAGGCUGGCCUCAAACUUCUGGACUCAAGGGAUCUGUGUGCCUCCCAAAGUGUUGGGAUUACAGGUGUGAGCUGCUGCACCCAGCCCUCAACACUCUGUUCCACAAUAGGCUUUGUGUUAGAUGAUUUUGCCCAACUACAGACUAAUAUAAGUGUUCUGAUAAUUUUAAGGUAAGCGAGGCUAAGCUAUGAUGUUUGAUAGGUUAGGUAUGGUAAAUGCAUUUUCUACUUAUGAUAUUUUUUCAACUUAAGAUGUGUUUAGUGGGAUGUAACCCCAUCACAAAUUGAGGAGCAUCUGUAUAUGAGUCACUUGCCCAUGCACAUUUUCUUAAAAUGCGGCUCUGAAACUCUGGGUCCUAGGGUAGGGCCUGAGAUCCUGCAUUUCUAACAAGCUCGCAGGGAUGUCCAAACUGCUGGCACUCAGGCCAUUCUUUCAGAAGUGAGUCUCCUGGGGGACAAUGGAGCCAGAGAAUGAAAGGUACACAGGGCUCUGAAUCACUACACAAGAAAAGCCACCUCUUCAACCAGCAACUUCUGACCUGUCACUUGAGUGAGGAAUAAGCUUUUGUGGAGGGUUGGAGGGUGAGGGUUAUUUGUCACAGCAGCUAGUCUUCUAGAAGUAGUUCGAACGAUUCACUGCUCCUGUUUUCAAUAUCUCGGCAAGGUCAUUCAGGACAAAAUUAUCCCCACUGCUCUUACCCCCUUAGCAUGGCUGUGUGUUCCAGAUGACUGCUUUAUGUUUUAAGGCAUUUAUACUUAACUAUGCAUUUAAACCUUACAAAGCCCUCACCCUAUGUUGUUAGCUCCUUGAUGAUAGCUGUGGUUAGAAAAAUAAAUUUUUGGUUUUGUCUUUGUUGACUCAGAUUAAAAACAGUGAAAAUGUGUUUUGGGGUUGGGUUGUGAGUAAAUGGCCUCUUCUGGUGGGAAGGGCAGUGGAGAACAGGCCAUGAGGGACUUUGGUCUUGAGAGACCAAUGCAGGGAGUUCAGCUGGAGUCUCUUAUUCAAGGGGCUGACUGGUGAGUGGCAGGGCCAUAUUGCAGGCUGCGGGGCUGAGAUUGGCUGAAACAGCUCAAAAGUGCUGCUUGACAUGAGUAGGAGGAACCCUGGGAAGUCAAAUGGGAUAUGUGGGUGCUCUGUGUGUGUGUGUGUGUGUGUGUGUGUGUGUAGGGGUGUUAUUUAAAGGAGUUGCAAUUGGAACAGAGACGCAGAGGGAGUCUGGAUCAGCUCUGGCCCAGACUGGCAGAGGUCUUUUACACACUUUCAGCAAACAUUUACGGCAUGAAGGCCGAGCCCAUCUAAGGAAUCCUGACCAGCCGGACACAUGUAUCCAAAUUCAGCCAAGGGUAUUAGUGGAAAGUCUCUCUCUGGGUUUGUGCAAGGAAAGCUAGAACAAGAAGACCUCCCCGUCAUUGUAGCUCAGCUCCUGCCCUUGCCUUUCGAAAAUAAGAGCCAGGGCCAGGCCUGCUCAAGCCCUGCUGGCUUCAAAGGCUGGACCUGAGCAUGAGGAGGAGAAAGUCCAGGGGAAAGAGCUAUUGGACUUAUUUUGGAUAAAGCACCUGAAUGAGUCCCAGAAGUUUAGCUUUUGUCCCAAAGGAUGCUUAAGUAACAAAGUCAAGCUCCUGUGUCUGAAUUUCAUAGACACAGCUGCAAAUCUGAGGAAAAUCACAAAUUGCCCACUGACUCCUCAGGGAUGCUUGCCAGGCUGCAAGCCAUUCCUACUCAGUGAUAUGAUUUGGCUGUGUCCCCACGCAAAUCUCACCUUGAAUUGUAACUUCCACAAUUCCCACAUGUUAUGGGAGGAAUCUGGUGGGGGGUCAUUGAAUCAUGGGAGCAGGUCUAUCCUAUGCUGUUCUUGUGAUAGUGAAUAAGUCUCAUGAGAUCUGAUGGUUUUAAAAAUGGGAGUUUCCCUGUACACGCUCUCUUUGCCUGCUGCCAUCCAUGUAAGAUGUGACUUGCUCCUCCUUGCCUUCCACCAUGACUGUGAGGCCUCCCCAGCCACAUGGAACUGUAAGUCCGUUAAACCCUUUUUCCUGUAUUAAUUACCUAGUCUCGGGUAUGUCUUUAUCAGCAGCAUGAAAAUGGAUUAAUACACUCAGGGAAACGGUGUUGGAUUUGGAGAAGAGACCAGUACUAAAAAAAUUAUUCAACCUCCAGCAAGCAUUCACUGAGCACCUAUUCUAUGCUAGGCAUGAGUGUGUUCCUGUCUGAGUCCUGGGCACCUUCAGCCUUCAGCAGAGCAGUCCUUUCCUCAGGAGAAGCUGGGCCUGCCUGUUCCAUCAGGAAGCAAGACCCCUGCUGUGGUGUCCUUGACCUCUCUCUGGGGGUACCCAUUACCCUGCAAUUGUGUCACUGAUUGUGGCAUUAUUUACCUGAUGAUGAAAAGAGGUAAGGCACACUGCCAGUCGAGUUCACUGUCACAGGUGGGGCCCCUGCACAGCUCUUGGCACAUGGCUGACAGCUAGAACAUACUUGCUGAAUGGCAGUCCCAGAGCACCACUGCAAAUGUUAAUAUGUCUCUUAAUGAUGACAGUACUACUAAUACAAAAUGUAUGUGUCAAGUAUUUACUCUGUGUUAGUCUCGAUGUUUUUUUUUUUUUUUUUUUGAGACAGAGUCUUGCUCUGUCACCCUGGCUGGAGUGUGAUGGUGUGAUCUCAGCUCAUUGAAACCUCUGCCCCACCAGGGGUUCAAGCAAUUCUCCUGCCUCAGCCUCCCAAGUAGCUGGAAUUAUAGGCAUGUGACACUAUGCCUGGCUAAUUUUUGUAAUUUUAGUAGAGAUGGGUUUUUGCCAUGUUGGCCAAGCUGGUCUCAAACUUCUUACCUCAGGUGAUCCUUCUGUCUCAGCCUCCCAAAGUGCUGGGAUUACAGGAAUGAGCCACCAUGUCUCGCCCAGUCUCAAGUAAUUUAUCUCAGGCUGUUUCUCAGUGUGGAUGAUGGUUCUGCAUGAGCCUAUUUUAAAACCGAGUAAACCAUCCAAAUGUUUUUAUGUACUUUUUUGGUAUAUAUGUUAUCUUGUCACAAUAAAAAUAUUAAAAUUGCAGUCCCUGGAUAUGUGUGUGUAUUCAUGUGCUUGUGAGUCUUUCUGUGUUCAUGUGUGAGUAUAUAUACAUAUAUUCUCAGCCUUUGUCUCACAGCUGCCGCAUUUGCUCACUUUGGCUUGCUUUGAGCCAUGACUAGGGCCAUCUCAGACUUGCAAAUCCAGAUCAAGAAGCAAGAAUCCAGGAAUACCUGAAUAACACAGGGAGAGUUGAAGCACUUGCAGCUCACUGCUAUUAUCUUGUUAAGCACUGGAAAAAUAAAUUGGCUGAUGUCUUUCCUGGCGGUACUUGGAUUUCAAGAAGUCAGAUCCUUUCUGUCUUUGCUUCCGGUAACAAGGCACCCUUUGCAUGCUCACACUUUUGUGAAAGUAUUUAUGAUGCAUAGGACAGGUCCUCAGGCUCCCUUUGCUGCGGCUUUUGCCUUAGGUAAGCAUUUAAAGAUAUUAAGGGAGCAUUCCGCUUUCAUGAGCAUGUUUUAUUCUUUAUUCCUGGGAGUUGUUCUAAUCACAUUAAUUCGGAAGGACCCACUUGAAAUUGCACCACCUCUCAUGUCCCUCUCUCUGAGGUCCCCUCCAGCUACAUGGUCCAGGACUCCCCACCAUCUCACCCACUUCUGAUGUCCUUCCCUUGUCUUGACCCCUGUCCUGCCCCUUUGCCCAGCAGGUGGGCCCCUCCCACUUGGUAGCCUUGUCCUUAUAAUCCCUCUGCCCCCUUCCUCUUACUGUGCACUGGGAAGGGUCUGAGAUUGGGAUGUAGAAGCUGAGUACUGGGCUUCUUAGCUGUGUGACUUUGUGCAAAUAAUCUUAAAGACCACAACUUCUUCGUCUCUGCAAAGAUGAUAGUUCCCAUUCCCAUUUUAUAUAGUGUGAGAAUCAAAGGGAAAUAUUCAUGAUAUCACUUUGAAAACAAUCAUUAUAUAUGUCCAGAGAAAUAAUCCUGCCAUUCUAACGCUAGGUUAAGUCUACUGUUUAUAUCCUUGGCUCCUGGCCCUGAAAUGAGGCUUGCUGUCUUAGUGUUAGGGGACAAAUCCUGUAUACAUAUGGGCCAUGUCAGGUGUAGAGAUGACCCAGGAAGUCCUAGGCAGAGCAUGCUCUGUUUCAGAAAUGCCUGCAGCAUUUCUGCAGCAGCGAAAUAGAGAGGCUUGAAUCACUCCUGCUCUCAGAAGUGUUUUGGAAGGAGGAUUCUUUUAUUCAACAGCUCUUUGUUGAGCACUUACUCAAUACCAGACUUUGGGUUAAGACAGACCUAGGUUAGAAUUCUAGAUCUGCCCAAAAGUACACAGUAAGACUGGUUAAGCCUGGAACCCAGGAUGAUGGGGAGUGCCCCAUCCAGGAUAAUAUGAAGAAAGUGAGGAUGCCUUCUUUUGUCCCUCCUUUAUUCUCUCUUCAUGAGUGGCAGAUGGGUAAUCACAUCUUCAUAUCACAGGACAUGCCCCUUGGAUGCAUUCCCCAAAACUGGGAAAAGUUUAAUUUCCCCAAAUCUUAAACUUCUUGGCUUAAAAAUAAACUGGGAACAAAUUACAAGAGUCAGCUUCGAAACCCAGUACCUCUAUGCAGGAGGUCCUCAGAUUAGCCUCUUAAGUCUUUUAUAAUGGAGAGUAGAAUAGGGAUGACAGGGCUAAGCCUGUUGGGUGGGGCAAAUGGCAUCCCCUCCCUCCAAAAGAAAAUAUUAAAAUUCUUACCAGUCAGACUUCUCUCUCUGUGCAAACUGGUUGUAGAAAUAAUAAAAAUCACCGUAUUCCCUGCCCCUCCAUGAACAACAUCUUAUUUCUCUUCUUGAAUUUUCCUUUCUCAGAACUACCUUUGUAGACUCUAAAUUUUGUAAAAACUGCUUAUCACCUACCUUGUACACUCACGAUUAAGUUAUAACUUUAGUUAAAACUUAUCGACUUCGCUUGUGAGGUUGCCUUUGGCAAAGCUCAAAAGACAUGAAUUUUGGCCAUUUGGCCAGGCUAAAGUCAGGUAAUAAGAGACUAAAAGGAUUUUAAGAGCACUAUGAUCAAAAGUCAGCUUAAUUAAAAGCAGAUAUCCAGGCUAUACCUAUAUGGAGCUGAAAUGUUCAUGAAGGUCAAACAGACCAGGGCUUACCUGAAUGGAUUAAACUAAUAGAAUAGUGAAGUAAUCUUUUUUGACUUUUUGCUUAAAACACUGCUAAUCUUUGUUUUAUUUUUCAGAGUCAAGGAAACUCGAGCUAUUUACAGCUUUUAACAAUUGAAUCAGAGUACUCCUGUGAACAAAAUUUGGAGCAUAUUUGUUUUGUGAUACUUGGUUUUCUAGAAUUUGGAAACUUUGUGAAUAUUCUUAUGGCAAUAUAGUUAAUUGCAUAAGAGCAAUAAGAAUGUUUUCUUUUGCAAUAGAAUGCAAUUGGAGAAACUGGUUGUUUUACCAAGGCUUUGACUGAAAUGGUAUGCUUUAUUUUAAGAAAUCAAGCUUGACUUACAGAGCCAAUAAAAGCCCCUUGGCCUCAUACCCUGUUUCCACAGUCCCUAUACAGAGUUCUUAACCUGUGGUGAGUAAAGACUGUCACUUUCUAAGGCCCAGGAGCCCCAAGUUAUCUUGGGACCUUAAGAGAAGAGGAAUUUACCGAAUUCAUAGGUAGUUGAGGGUACAAAACCAUGGCUGGGCUGGGCUUUAAAAAUGUCUUAUCUAAGAUUCCUUAUGGAACAGAGUUUCAUCAAAGCCAACUUUAAAAGCCUAUGUGAAGAAUAAUUAUUCUUGCUGUACUUUAUGCAAUAAUCAGGCCAAGUAUAAUAAGACUAAAGUUAAUUGUGCCAAAAAAAAAAAUCAGUCCUAUCAUGAUUUGUUGACAAAAAUAAGCACUGAAGAGACAAAUUAUAUUUUAAAAGUUAUGACAUACCUGUCAUUAAAUUCAAGUCUUAUCAGUUGUUUUUAAGUUUUUGUCUGCAUUUUAGAUCAGCCCUGCUUAUUCCUGUAAACCAACAGUGAUCUCUGGCUGUAGCUCUGAAGAAACAAAAAUGACAGGUAAUGUAAAAGUCUGGAUCAAUAUUCUAAUUCUGUGCAAUUAACUAUCCUUCAAAUCCUGCCAGGUGAUGGGGGUAAACCUGGAGGUUUCUUUUUCGGGAAUAUGAGACCAAGGGAGCUAACGAAAGCCAAACCCCAUGCACCCAGGUCAUAAUUGUAGCCACUAGUUACCUAGGUGUGUCAGAGCAGCCUCAGGAAUUUUGGAGCUGUCCUCACCCCCUUGUUUUGCUUUCGUCCAUGUCUUCUAAUCUAAUAACCCGAUCUGUCUCCUCUUGUCUUCAGCCCAUUAAGUUCCAGAUGAUCCUCAGUGAGGGAUACCAUCCUCUCAAUAUUCAAUAGUCACCCUUCUACAGGGACCCUCUAGACUGCCUGUCAAUGGGAUACGACAGAGGCGAAGUCCUGUCCCUGUCACUCUUGACCUGGCUAGAUACCACUUUCACUGACUCAUGGAGACAACUCAGUCCUGCUGGCAAGAGACCAAGACCCACAGAACCACCACUGCCCCUCUGUCAGCAGGAAGCAGUUACAGAAGACAGACUCUGUCCAUUUUACCCCUAAAUUUGGGGUUGUGAACGCUUGAGGGGGCAAAUGUUACAGUUGGUGGCUAGUUAGGUACAGCAGGGCAGCAGAGGGCUCCUCCCAACACACCAGGGGUGCUGGGAGACCCUCAGGGCACGUCAGGUGGUUGUUAACUGUUUCUCUAAAGUAAUAAAGUCACAGCUGGUGCUAGGGAAAGACAGGCUCCUAAUAGAAAACACCUGAAACGAAUCAGCAGCUUCCCAAUAAGAUCUCGCCAGUCCGGAGAAGCAAGGCAAGAUCCCGGAAGCAGGCCAAUGGAUGAAACCCCAAGUCAAGAGGUAAGCUGCACACUUGGUUUCUCAAGUUGCCUUGGACCUCUUCAGAGUUGUACUUUGUUUCUUUCCUUAUUGUUCUAACGAUUUUUAGUGAACUUUCACACCUGCUCUGAAAAGAAAACUUGCUAGAUCUGCCGCUUGAUAGCUUCAGAAAGGCCCUUUUUGUUUUGUUUUGUUUUCUCGUUGGUGUUUGUUUUCUCUUGAUCAGGAUUCCCAGGAAAGUGUUCUCAUUCUUUUAACGUCUUCAGUGUUACCUCUGCGUUUUACAAAUUUGAGCCAAUUUCCACUAGCUGAAAACAGAAUGCAUAGGAUACAGACUCCUUCAUUUGCCUCUUCUUUAGUGUUUCUUCAAGUCUUUGAAAGACAUACAACUUCCUUGAAGUGGAUGAGUGUUCUUCUGCCAUGUUUCCUCUCCACCCAGCGUGUGCUACAUAUUCCUUCCCGACCUCCAUGUCCUCCAGGCCUUCUGACCUGUCCUUCCCUGCCUGCAGCCCACAGUGACUUUCCCUUCUCUUCCCCCCCACUCCCUCCCCUUGGGCUGAAAGCAGGCAAAAGUCACCUCCAGACUAAGAACCAACCUUGAGCAGCAAUCUUCCUGUGUUCUGCUUUUCCUUUGAAGUAACAAUGCUCCUGUCAACAAGACCUCUGCCUCCUCACUCCUCAUUCACUCAGCAGCUUAAAUGUACUGUUCUACUAAAAGGUCUCUGGAACCUCCAAAAAUAACAAUAAGUGAUUCAGUCUUACUCCUGCUUCUGAGUGACAUCAUUGCACAUGUGGUCAGUGAUGUCACUCCUUUGCUGAAAUCCUCUCCUUUCUAGGAGUCCAUGGCCCUGCAGUGUCCAGUCUCUCCAAGCCCCGCUUCCCUGACCCAUUUUUCUGUCCCUACUUCCCCAGUGUGGCUCCUGUCCCUUUUCCCUUGCCCCUUCUCUACGUUGACGAUCAUAACAACUUUAACUCCUAGCAUAGUGGUUCUAACUCUUGGCUGCCCAACCUUUGUCUCCUUGAGGAGCUUUAAAAAAAAAAUCCUGAUAUCCAGGUCCCAUCCCAACCAAUUAUAUCAGAGUGUCUAGGAAUGGGUCCUGGUGGGGCUUUAGGGAGUUGAUUCUUAAAUCUUUAGACUUAGCUUCUCACCUGAACCUAAUUUUCUGAAAUGCCUCCAUUUUUAGUCUGAUUAUUGGCCAGAUGAAUAUUUCCAUCAGGGCAACCUAAGAGCCUCCUGAUGUCCCUUGUAGAUCUGAUCCUCUUCCUAUUUUCUCCUUUCACUCAGGCUUGAAGGCUGUGAUUGUUCCUAACUCUUGGGAUCCACUAAGUGUGAGGUCUGCUUGUUUCCUUUCCCUGAAAGCCGGCAAAACUCUCCCCUCCGUUUCAGGCACGCAAGUCUUAAGUCUCACCUGGACUGACAGGAAACACCUUGCCAGAGUUUCUCCAAGUGCUCCUCCUCCUAGACAAGGCGCCAGGACUGACUUUAGAGCCAGGGGAUGAUUUUUUUCUCUCUACUCCAAAUCUUUCCUGACUCUCCACUGUUCACCAAAGGCUUUGUGGUGUGCUUUAAUCCCCGCCCUCCACCCACUCUCUCUCCUAUAC